AACGAACGCUGGCGGCAGGCUUAACACAUGCAAGUCGAGCGCCCCGCAAGGGGAGCGGCAGACGGGUGAGUAACGCGUGGGAAUCUACCCAUCACUACGGAACAACUCCGGGAAACUGGAGCUAAUACCGUAUACGUCCUUCGGGAGAAAGAUUUAUCGGUGAUGGAUGAGCCCGGGUUGGAUUAGCUAGUUGGUGGGGUAAAGGCCUACCAAGGCGACGAUCCAUAGCUGGUCUGAGAGGAUGAUCAGCCACACUGGGACUGAGACACGGCCCAGACUCCUACGGGAGGCAGCAGUGGGGAAUAUUGGACAAUGGGCGAAAGCCUGAUCCAGCCAUGCCGCGUGAGUGAUGAAGGCCUUAGGGUUGUAAAGCUCUUUCGCAGGUGAAGAUAAUGACGGUAACCUGAGAAGAAGCCCCGGCUAACUUCGUGCCAGCAGCCGCAGUAAUAC
rnacentral:rRNA from 1 species